GUCAGAUUACUGAGAAAGAUUGUUCUGGACAGAAGUCAAAGCUGUUGGAUAUUCAGCUAAGAGAUCUAAGGUCCUAUAAUAUUACUUGGGAGUCUUAUGAGGAUCAAAAAAUUUAAUGGUAAAGUAUCUGUUCAAAAUUCUAGAUUCUCUACAAAGUUGUUUCUUGAUGGAGACCUAUCUGAGAUUGCUAAAUUUAAAAAGCAG